rnacentral:rRNA from 1 species
AACGUAGGUUCCGAGCGUUAUCCGGAUUUACUGGGCGUAAAGCGCGUUCAGGCGGUUUGGCAAGUCGGGCAUGAAAUCUCUCGGCUCAACCGGGAGAGGUUGUCCGAUACUGUUAGACUGGAGGGCAGUAGAGGGUGGUGGAAUUCCGGGUGUAGUGGUGAAAUGCGUAGAGAUCCGGAGGAACACCAGUGGCGAAAGCGGCCACCUGGACUGCACCUGACGCUGAGGCACGAAAGCGUGGGGAGCAAACAGG